UGACGAAGAUUUUUAAGUGUUAACGUUUCAACAUUUAGUGAAAUAUCACAAACCUAAUGAGUGAAUUAGCGAAUUGUUUCCCUUUGAAAUCAACACGCCAUUAUCGGUGGAUACAUGUCUGAAACUGGGUCAGAGAAUACAUGCAGUUAUUGCUCUGAAUAUACGCGGAUAUUUAAAGUGCAUGGCGGAUUUAAUAAUUGUUAUGGAUAACCUCCAGCAGUAAGAAAUAUAAAGGCUCACUGCAGUUUUGAGUGCUCAACAAGUAUUGACCCCAUACUAUGCUCAGCAAGUAGGGCCCUUGUAUUUCUGUGAAUCCUCAUGCAGUACAGUACUGCUGUUGGAAGAGGAGCAAACAGUGUGGUACCUAUGGUUCACCAUCACUUCAAGCAUCAUGGCUAUGGAGAAAAGAAUGUUUCAUUACAUAUGGACAAUUAUAGUGGACAAAAUUAUAAGAAAAGUGUUGUAAUAAGCUAUGGAAUGUGGCUUGUUAUGAUGGGUCUACAUGAUGACUUGGAGUACAGCCUGAUGGAGGCCCGGCAUACAGAAUUCAGUCCUGAACAUGUUUAGAAUGUCUUCUGCAUGACCUGGUAUAGAUAGUAUUCUUGAAGGAUUAUAACUUCAACACAGAGACGGAGAUUAAUAUUUUUAGGCAGGGGGUUGGCAUGACAGGCAAAUUCACCAACCGUAUUACCAUUCCUGAGCUGGAUGCCAGUCGACAGUGGUACCUGUAUAAUGAAAUAGUGCCCCUUUGCAGCAACAGCAAUGUAUGCUCAAAACCAGCAGUGUCAAAGCCAUUAAAAUUGAUAAUUCAAGUCAUUUAAAACGAAGAAUGAAUGGAAAAAAAGUGUUUAACAUUUAAAGUAAUACAGAGAAAGAGCUCUGAAAUUUUGAAUAAUUUGAAAGUGUUUUUGAUUUUUUGAAGAUGUACUAGACCCAAAUUCCAUAUAUUUGAAAAAUAACAAAUGAUACAUAUAGUUUAUGUAAACAUUAAAUUAACAACUUUAUGGUGUCACCAGUACUAUGCAUUUGUUAAAUAUUGACUCACUAUAUACAUGUAAGGCUUAACACAGUAUAAAUGUGAAAUUCCUCUAAAACACUGGAAGAUUUUUCAACAAUAAUUGUGACAUAUAUGGUAGUACAUUUUUUUCAUUACGACAGUUGGAUUAUAUAGAUCUACGAAUAUUUUCUGCUGUAUUCAAACUGCAUGUAUCAUUUCUGUCGGUAUCAUGUUUAUUUUCACUUUUCAUGAACAAUUAAUUUAACCUGUCUUGAAAGCACAAUAUAUGUAUAAUUUGUAAAACACACAUUGGAUUAUUGUGGAAACAAUUUAGUUUUUAUAUGCCUAAUUAUAUAUUAUUGCCGUUAGUAUCAUCUAACUCUUUUAAUAUGAUCAAGACAUUUAAUAAGGCAGUUUUCUUAAACUAUUACUGUGUGUUAAAUGAGAUUAUGUAGUAUUAUGUUUACGGAAUUAACUGCGUAACCAUGGAAACAUUUUUCUGUUGUUCUAUAUUAUGUCUUGAAAAAAAACAUUGUUUGAAGAACUCUUUUCAGUGGUGCAUUUUUUAAAAAUUUUACAUGUAAUGGUAAAUGCUGAAAGUGUUCUACAAUAA